rnacentral:rRNA from 1 species
GACGUAGGGGACGAGCGUUGUCCGGAUUCAUUGGGCGUAAAGAGCUCGUAGGCGGUUUGGUAAGUCUGGUGUGAAAUCUCCACGCUCAACGUGGAGGGGCCACCCGAUACUGCCAUGACUGGAGUCCGGUAGAGGAGUGUGGAAUUCCCGGUGUAGCGGUGAAAUGCGCAGAUAUCGGGAGGAACACCAAUGGCGAAGGCAGCUCGCUGGGACGGUACUGACGCUGAGACGCGAAAGCGUGGGGAGCGAACAGG